AUUGAACGCUGGCGGCAUGCCUUACACAUGCAAGUCGAACGGCUGCACGGGUGCUUGCACCUGGUGGCGAGUGGCGAACGGGUGAGUAAUACAUCGGAACGUACCUUAUCGUGGGGGAUAACGCAGCGAAAGUUGCGCUAAUACCGCAUACGCCCUGAGGGGGAAAGCGGGGGACCGUAAGGCCUCGCGCGAUUAGAGCGGCCGAUGUCUGAUUAGCUUGUUGGUGAGGUAAAAGCUCACCAAGGCGAUGAUCAGUAGCUGGUCUGAGAGGACGAUCAGCCACACUGGGACUGAGACACGGCCCAGACUCCUACGGGAGGCAGCAGUGGGGAAUUAUGGACAAUGGGGGCAACCCUGAUCCAGCAAUGCCGCGUGAGUGAAGAAGGCCUUCGGGUUGUAAAGCUCUUUUGUCAGGGAAGAAACAGCAGCUCUAACACAGUCUGCGAAUGACGGUACCUGAAGAAUAAGCACCGGCUAACUACGUGCCAGCCGCCGCAGUAA
rnacentral:rRNA from 1 species